UACGGAGGGUGCAAGCGUUAUCCGGAUUCCCUGGGUUUAAAGGGUGCGUAGGCGGGCAGGUAAGUCCGUGGUGAAAUCUCUGAGCUUAACUCAGAAACUGCCAUGGAUACUAUUUGUCUUGAAUAUUGUGGAGGUAAGCGGAAUAUGUCAUGUAGCGGUGAAAUGCUUAGAUAUGACAUAGAACACCAAUUGCGAAGGCAGCUUACUACACAGUUAUUGACGCUGAGGCACGAAAGCGUGGGGAUCAAACAGG
rnacentral:rRNA from 1 species